rnacentral:rRNA from 1 species
CAGUCGCCGCGGUAAUACGAAGGGGGCUAGCGUUGUUCGGAUUUACUGGGCGUAAAGCGCACGUAGGCGGGCUUUUAAGUCAGGGGUGAAAUCCCGGGGCUCAACCCCGGAACUGCCUUUGAUACUGGAAGUCUUGAGUAUGGAAGAGGUGAGUGGAAUUCCGAGUGUAGAGGUGAAAUUCGUAGAUAUUCGGAAGAACACCAGUGGCGAAGGCGGCAACCUGGUCCAUUACUGACGCUGAGGCGCGAUAGCGUGGGGAGCAAACAGGAUUAGAUACCCCAGUAGUCCCUGUCUCUUAUAC